rnacentral:rRNA from 1 species
AACGAACGCUGGCGGCAGGCUUAACACAUGCAAGUCGAACGCCCCGCAAGGGGAGUGGCAGACGGGUGAGUAACGCGUGGGAACGUACCUUUCAGUUCGGAAUAACUCAGGGAAACUUGUGCUAAUACCGGAUACGCCCGCAAGGGGAAAGAUUUAUCGCUGAAAGAUCGGCCCGCGUUGGAUUAGCUAGUUGGUGGGGUAAAGGCCUACCAAGGCGACGAUCCAUAGCUGGUCUGAGAGGAUGAUCAGCCACACUGGGACUGAGACACGGCCCAGACUCCUACGGGAGGCAGCAGUGGGGAAUAUUGGACAAUGGGCGCAAGCCUGAUCCAGCCAUGCCGCGUGUGUGAUGAAGGCCUUAGGGUUGUAAAGCUCUUUCGGCCGGGAAGAAAUCGCAUGGGUUAAUACCCUGUGUGGAUGACGGUACCGGAAUAAGAAGCACCGGCUAACUACGUG